UUUCGGGAGAAGGUGCGCCCCGGUAGUGUGUAGCGGCUUGCCCGUGAAGCACGAUGGGGUUGCAGUGAAUUGGUGGCUGCGACUGUUUAAUAAAAACACAGCACUCUGCAAACACGAAAGUGGACGUAUAGGGUGUGACGCCUGCCCGGUGCCGGAAGGUUAAGUGAUGGGGUGCAAGCUCUUGAUCGAAGCCCCGGUAAACGGCGGCCGUAACGAUAACGGUCCUAAGGUAGCGAAAUUCCUUGUCGGGUAAGUUCCGACCUGCACGAAUGGCGUAACGAUGGCCACACUGUCUUCUCCUGAGACUCAGCGAAGUUGAAGUGGUUGUGAAGAUGCAAUCUACCCGCUGCUAGACGGAAAGACCCCAUGCACCUUUACUGUAGCUUUGCAUUGGACUUUGAUGAGACUUGUGUAGGAUAGGUGGGAGGCUUUGAAGGCGGGAUGCUAGUUCCGCUGGAGCCGUCCUUGAAAUACCACCCUGGUGUCAUUGAGGUUCUAACCUAGAUCCAUUAUCUGGAUCGGGGACCGUGCAUGGCAGGCAGUUUGACUGGGGCGGUCUCCUCCCAAAGGGUAACGGAGGAGUUCGAAGGUUCGCUAGGUACGGUCGGACAUCGUACUGAUAGUGCAUUGGCAAAAGCGAGCUUGACUGCGAGACGGACAUGUCGAGCAGGUGCGAAAGCAGGACAAAGUGAUCCGGUGGUUCUGUAUGGAAGGGCCAUCGCUCAACGGAUAAAAGGUACGCUGGGGAUAACAGGCUGAUGACUCCCAAGAGUUCAUAUCGACGGAGUCGUUUGGCACCUCGAUGUCGGCUCAUCACAUCCUGGGGCUGUAGCCGGUCCCAAGGGUAUGGCUGUUCGCCAUUUAAAGUGGUACGUGAGCUGGGUUUAAAACGUCGUGAGGCAGUUUGGUCCCUAUCUGCAGUGGGCGUUGGAGAUUUGACGGGGGCUGCUCCUAGUACGAGAGGACCGGAGUGGACGCACCCCUGGUGUACCGGUUGUGACGCCAGUCGCAUCGCCGGGUAGCUAUGUGCGGAAGAGAUAACCGCUGAAAGCAUCUAAGCGGGAAACUUGCCUGAAGAUGAGAUCUCCCGGAGGCUUGACCUCCCUGAAGGGUCGUGGAAGACCACCACGUUGAUAGGCCGGGUGUGGAAGCGCAGUAAUGCGUUAAGCUAACCGGUACUAAUUGCCCGUGCGGCUUGAUCCC
rnacentral:rRNA from 1 species